GUGAACGCUGGCGGUAGGCCUAACACAUGCAAGUCGAACGGCAGCACAGUAAGAGCUUGCUCUUACGGGUGGCGAGUGGCGGACGGGUGAGGAAUACAUCGGAAUCUACUUUUUCGUGGGGGAUAACGUAGGGAAACUUACGCUAAUACCGCAUACGACCUACGGGUGAAAGCAGGGGAUCUUCGGACCUUGCGCGAUUGAAUGAGCCGAUGUCGGAUUAGCUAGUUGGCGGGGUAAAGGCCCACCAAGGCGACGAUCCGUAGCUGGUCUGAGAGGAUGAUCAGCCACACUGGAACUGAGACACGGUCCAGACUCCUACGGGAGGCAGCAGUGGGGAAUAUUGGACAAUGGGCGCAAGCCUGAUCCAGCCAUACCGCGUGGGUGAAGAAGGCCCUCGGGUUGUAAAGCCCUUUUGUUGGGAAAGAAAAGCAGCAGGUUAAUACCCCGCUGUUCUGACGGUACCCAAAGAAUAAGCACCGGCUAACUUCGUG
rnacentral:rRNA from 1 species